rnacentral:rRNA from 1 species
GAACUGGUGAGUAACACGUGGGAAACCUGCCCAGAAGCGGGGGAUAACACCUGGAAACAGAUGCUAAUACCGCAUAACAACUUGGACCGCAUGGUCCGAGCUUGAAAGAUGGCUUCGGCUAUCACUUUUGGAUGGUCCCGCGGCGUAUUAGCUAGAUGGUGGGGUAACGGCUCACCAUGGCAAUGAUACGUAGCCGACCUGAGAGGGUAAUCGGCCACAUUGGGACUGAGACACGGCCCAAACUCCUACGGGAGGCAGCAGUAGGGAAUCUUCCACAAUGGACGAAAGUCUGAUGGAGCAACGCCGCGUGAGUGAAGAAGGGUUUCGGCUCGUAAAACUCUGUUGUUAAAGAAGAACAUAUCUGAGAGUAACUGUUCAGGUAUUGACGGUAUUUAACCAGAAAGCCACGGCUAACUACGUGCCAGCAGCCGCGGUAAUACGUAGGUGGCAAGCGUUGUCCGGAUUUAUUGGGCGUAAAGCGAGCGCAGGCGGUUUUUUAAGUCUGAUGUGAAAGCCUUCGGCUCAACCGAAGAAGUGCAUCGGAAACUGGGAAACUUGAGUGCAGAAGAGGACAGUGGAACUCCAUGUGUAGCGGUGAAAUGCGUAGAUAUAUGGAAGAACACCAGUGGCGAAGGCGGCUGUCUGGUCUGUAACUGACGCUGAGGCUCGAAAGUAUGGGUAGCAAACAGGAUUAGAUACCCUGGUAGUCCAUACCGUAAACGAUGAAUGCUAAGUGUUGGAGGGUUUCCGCCCUUCAGUGCUGCAGCUAACGCAUUAAGCAUUCCGCCUGGGGAGUACGGCCGCAAGGCUGAAACUCAAAGGAAUUGACGGGGGCCCGCACAAGCGGUGGAGCAUGUGGUUUAAUUCGAAGCUACGCGAAGAACCUUACCAGGUCUUGACAUACUAUGCAAAUCUAAGAGAUUAGACGUUCCCUUCGGGGACAUGGAUACAGGUGGUGCAUGGUUGUCGUCAGCUCGUGUCGUGAGAUGUUGGGUUAAGUCCCGCAACGAGCGCAACCCUUAUUAUCAGUUGCCAGCAUUAAGUUGGGCACUCUGGUGAGACUGCCGGUGACAAACCGGAGGAAGGUGGGGAUGACGUCAAAUCAUCAUGCCCCUUAUGACCUGGGCUACACACGUGCUACAAUGGAUGGUACAACGAGUUGCGAACUCGCGAGAGUAAGCUAAUCUCUUAAAGCCAUUCUCAGUUCGGAUUGUAGGCUGCAACUCGCCUACAUGAAGUCGGAAUCGCUAGUAAUCGCGGAUCAGCAUGCCGCGGUGAAUACGUUCCCGGGCCUUGUACACACCGCCCGUCACACCAUGAGAGUUU